GACAGAGGGUGCAAGCGUUGUUCGGAAUUACUGGGCGUAAAGGGCGCGUAGGCGGCCCGCUAAGUCGAACGUGAAAUCCCCGAGCUCAACUCGGGAACUGCGUCCGAUACUGGCGGGCUUGAAUCCGGGAGAGGGAUGCGGAAUUCCAGGUGUAGCGGUGAAAUGCGUAGAUAUCUGGAGGAACACCGGUGGCGAAGGCGGCAUCCUGGACCGGCAUUGACGCUGAGGCGCGAAAGCUAGGGGAGCAAACGGG
rnacentral:rRNA from 1 species